rnacentral:rRNA from 1 species
UACGUAGGUGGCAAGCGUUGUCCGGAAUUAUUGGGCGUAAAGCGCGCGUAGGUGGUUUCUUAAGUCUGAUGUGAAAGCCCACGGCUCAACCGUGGAGGGUCAUUGGAAACUGGGGAACUUAAGUGCAGGAGGAGAAGAGUGGAAUUCCACGUGUAGCGGUGAAAUGCGUAGAGAUGUGGAGGAACACCAGUGGCGAAGGCGGCAUCCUGGACCGAGAUUGACGCUGAACAGCGAAAGCUAGGGGAGCAAAGCGGG